CGGGUAUAGCUCAGUGGUAGAGCACAACCUUGCCAAGGUUGGGGUCGAGGGUUCAAGUCCCUUUGCCC
rnacentral:tRNA from 1 species